UUAAGUCAGAUGUGAAAGACCCGGGGCGUUAACCUCCGGAAUUGCAUUUGAAACUAGGCAGGCUAGAGUCUUGUAGAGGGGGGUAGGAAGUUUCAGGUGUAGCGGUGAAAUAGCGUAGAGAUCUGAAGGAAUACCAGUGGCGAAGGCGGCCCCCUCGGACAAAGACUGACGCUCAGAUGCGAAAGCGUGGGGAGCAAACAGGAUUAGAUACCCUGGUAG
rnacentral:rRNA from 1 species